rnacentral:lncRNA from 1 species
UACAAAGGAAAUGGAAAGAAAGGAAGGAGAAAACAACUUAAAUUGCUCACGUCACUCUAGAUUGGUAACUACAACUACUUUUAUAACUCCGAACAUUAUGUUUGCAUUGUUUUUUUUUUUUAUUUUUUUUUUUUGCAUAUUCGAUUUUUAUGAAUUUCAAUUUUACAUGAUUCAUGGUUGUGUUAUUCGUUGUCUUUAUUUAAUUUGUGUUUAAUGAUUUUUUUCCUGAUAUAAUUCAUUUAGUUCUUGUUUAUA